rnacentral:rRNA from 1 species
AACGAACGCUGGCGGCAUGCCUAACACAUGCAAGUCGAACGAUACCUUCGGGUCUAGUGGCGCACGGGUGCGUAACGCGUGGGAACCUGCCCUUAGGUUCGGAAUAACUCCCCGAAAGGGGUGCUAAUACCGGAUAAUGUCUUCGGACCAAAGAUUUAUCGCCUUUGGAUGGGCCCGCGUUGGAUUAGCUAGUUGGUAGGGUAAAAGCCUACCAAGGCGACGAUCCAUAGCUGGUCUGAGAGGAUGAUCAGCCACACUGGGACUGAGACACGGCCCAGACUCCUACGGGAGGCAGCAGUGGGGAAUAUUGGACAAUGGGCGAAAGCCUGAUCCAGCAAUGCCGCGUGAGUGAUGAAGGCCUUAGGGUUGUAAAGAUCUUUUACCCGGGAUGAUAAUGACAGUACCGGGAGAAUAAGCUCCGGCUAACUCCGUG